rnacentral:rRNA from 1 species
GACGGGGGAUGCAAGUGUUAUUCGGAAUCACUGGGCGUAAAGCGUCUGCAGGUGGUUUCCUAAGUCCACUGUUAAACCUUGAGGCUCAACCUCAAAUCUGCAUUGGAAACUAGGAGACUUGAGUAUAGUAGGGGUAGAGGGAAUUUCCAGUGGAGCGGUGAAAUGCGUAGAUAUUGGAAAGAACACCGAUGGCGAAGGCACUCUACUGGGCUAUUACUGACACUCAGAGACGAAAGCUAGGGGAGCAAAUGGG